GCAGAUUCCUCCCAUCGCCCUUCCCACCCCCAGCAGCAGCAUCGGCAUCGCGGCGACAGAGGUUACAAACUUUCUCCCUUAUGGUCUCAUUCGACCAGUAGGUGAGGUGGUGUGUUUCCCAUGGGAGAGCUGAGGAGUCUCGGAGGAGCCAGAUGACUUGGGCAAGGACACAUUCUCCUUGGGAGGCAGCAACCCCACAUGCCCUGCUACUCCCCCACAGGCACCAACUCCUCCAGGGAAGGUGCAGGCUAGAGGCCUGCAUCCUACAGCCCAUCCCCAACAGUGCAGGGCAGUGGGGGCUGGGGAUGGGGCAGGAGAGCACUCACUGGGGUCCAGGAAGCUGAGGCCUAUCUAGAUUUCAGGGGCCUCCCAACUCUCCUGUAUGAGAAAUCCAAGACCUCUGGUCAUUCCCAACUCCAGACAAAGAAGAAGGUAUCUCUUCUCAUACCCCAUCAUAACACAUUCUGGGGUCCAAUAUUGGUCCCGGUAGACCAAAGGACAGAGGAAAGAGUUAACUGGACAGACGGAGGAGGGACAGGAUCCUCCCUGGAAACUGCCCAAAUGUUACCCUGAGCAGCCCAGGACUGCUGGCCAAAGGAGGCAGAAAGAGACCCAAAAGCUCCCAGAACAGAUGGGCCAGCCAGGGAGUGAGGGGGCUGAAAUGGCCAUCAUAAUCAUAAUCUCUCAAAUUCCUCCGGAGCGGUGCCCGUCUCCAAAGCUGGUUCCGAUCCCCUCUCUCAGCGGAAGCUCACAACUCCCCUGGACAGUCGACGGCCAGAGCCUGUGAGACCCAUCUGACAACAUGAGGCCACUCCGCUCAGAGAGUUAGGCUGCAACCCGGGGACUCCGCAGUCAAGGGGACUCAGACCUGCUAGCAGUGCUUCUCUGGAUCUGUGAGCUGCAGGACGGAAAAAACAGAGACGGGAUGAAGGUAGAAACCGACACAAAGUUGGCCUCCCCCAGAGCUGCGCCCCCGCCCCUGGUGGGCAGCUGCUGUCGGAAAUGGCAGCGCUCGGCGGACUCUCUUGGGAUUCACCAUCCUGGUACUUUUAGGAUCGCAAAGUCUAGGAAUCAAAAGUCCUAAUGGACAACAUCCCAGGGGAGCAUGUCCCUGAGAAAAUGAAGAAUGAAGUUUGCCACAGAACCCUGGGGACUGGAGCUCAGGACGGGCUGGACACUGUGAGGGUACAGAGCCAGGCCGUUUAGGGCUCUGAUUGGAUGACACUACUGUUGGGGGGUAAGGAGAGCCGGGACUGCAGCCCAAGUGGGUGGAUGGGUUCAAUCCGCUCACCCCUGGUCCUUGACCGCA